AGAUAUUUGAUGAGUUUGUGCAAAGCUAAGUUGCCAUCAAAAAUUAAGUGGUUGGUGUGCUGUAAUCUCUCACUUAUACCUGAACUGAAAAGUUGAGUGGGUGACCCUGUAGUUCACUAGUGAUUAGGUGUGUAGCUCUUUUCCUUGCUGCUUGCCAGUUUUGGGUGAACCUGAAAACGUGUGAGUAUUUGUGGUGCCAUUCUAUUAACGAUUGCAAGUUUGCUGGCUGAAUCUGAACGUGUAUUUCCUAGGCCCUGUAGAAUGGCAAGUUUUAUCGAUUUUGCUUAACAAAGUUUGAGUACGCGCAGACUUUUCGAUGGUGAUACGUACCUGCUGCUCCGUUCCCACUCAAAGAUAGUGUAGAUGAUUGGUGCUUGGUCGGCGGAGAUGUGCCGGUCCCUGUGAAGGAUAGCAGGGAAGAUGGUCCCUGUGCUUGUGUCUGCUGAUUGAAGGAGGGGGUUCACUGCUGUCUGAACUGAACUGAACUGAAAUAUGCCAGAAAAACAGAGGUGCUCUGUAGUAGGUAGGUGUCAGAAAUGGAGAAGCGUGUGAUGUGAGUCGUGGAUCUCACCUCAAACUUAUCUUGGAUCCACGGAGGAACGGAGCAGGGACGGAGCGAAGCGUCACACUCGGGCUGAGGGAAGCUCGCCGAGCUCCGACGAGGGGAUGGCCGCAAGCACCUGCACCUGGGCGCCGUCGACCUCAGUGAAUCCCGAGCCCGACGAAGACCGCUGCGGGAUGCGUCGGACGGCGAGAGGUCGGCGGCGGAGGAUAACGAGUGGCAGGCAAACGCAGGGGAGCGCGUGGGCAGGGGAGCUGUCUUGAGUCAAGC
rnacentral:lncRNA from 1 species